rnacentral:rRNA from 1 species
GAUGAACGCUGGCGGCGUGCCUAAUACAUGCAAGUCGAGCGAACAGACGAGGAGCUUGCUCCUCUGACGCUAGCGGCGGACGGGUGAGUAACACGUGGAUAACCUACCUAUAAGACUGGGAUAACUUCGGGAAACCGGAGCUAAUACCGGAUAAUAUAUUGAACCGCAUGGUUCAAUAGUGAAAGACGGUUUUGCUGUCACUUAUAGAUGGAUCCGCGCCGCAUUAGCUAGUUGGUAAGGUAACGGGUUACCAAGGCAACGUUGCGUAGCCGACCUGAGAGGGUGAUCGCCCACACUGGAACUGAGCCACGGUCCAGACUCCUACGGGAGGCAGCAGUAGGGAAUCUUCCGCAAUGGGCGAAAGCCUGACGGAGCAACGCCGCGUGAGUGAUGAAGUUCUUCGGACCGUAAAACUCUGUUAUUAGGGAAGAACAAAUGUGUAAGUAACUAUGCACGUCUUGACGGUACCUAAUCAGAAAGCCACGGCUAACUACGUG